rnacentral:lncRNA from 1 species
CUGACAUUUGGUUUCUCCAUGAUCUGUACUGAUCCCAUGCCUUUUCUUUUCCUCCAGCUAUAAAAUGUAGUCAUAAUCAGAGCACUGAUCUCUGCCAGAGAAUCUCAUCAAAAGGGAGAAGUCCACCCACUCAGGCCUCACAGGAAAAAACAGACUCAGUGGGAGGCCAUUGGAGGCACACUGGCAAGAGAUUGAAGCUGACCUUGCCAUCACACCCAGACUUCUUUAAUGCUCUCUGUAGAUGCUUUUCACAGGUUCUUGGUUCUGCUGGGGCUGAGAGUAUUUUGGCAUGUCUUUGGUGCUGCAUUACAAAGGAAGAGUGGAGCAGGAAG